rnacentral:lncRNA from 1 species
GAUGCGCUUUAACUGAGAAGCCCCCAAGGCAGAGGCUGAGAAUCAGAAGACAUUUCAGCAGACAUCUACAAAUCUGAAGGACAAAACAUGGUUCAAGCAUCUGGGCACAGGCGGUCCACCCGUGGCUCCAAAAUGGUCUCCUGGUCCGUGAUAGCAAAGAUCCAGGAAAUAUGGUGCGAGGAAGAUGAGAGGAAGAUGGCGCGAGAGUUCCUGGCCGAGUUCAUGAGCACAUAUGUCAUGAUGAACAUACAUAUGAUAGUUGAGAAAGACACAUAUUCUGAUCAUGAAGAAAUAAACACAAGUUAAAUAUGACUAAGCAGAAAGAUGGAAGGACCAGGAAUGGUGAUGCUAACUUGGAACCACGAUGCAGGCUCUAAACUCCUCUACAAUCAUCCUCCCUUGUGAGAAAAAUACAUAAGAUCUAAGGCACAUGAGAUGAUAUGCUUUCUGUUUGAGUUUCUCCUUUAUGUUACGCAUACUGAUAAAAUUGUUGAUGCCAGUUGAUCUGAAGGUCCCAGCAAGGAGCCGACUCACAGAAGAAUGCAGUUUUCACAUCAUGAUGAUUUAAUCUUCCUUGACCUGAGCAAUUGACAACCCCAAUUCUCCAGAACCUCACCCGCCACAAUCCCCUUAAAAACCCUGGCCCAGAACCCCUCAAGCAGACAGAUGUGAAGCUUGAGGAUUCCUUCAUCUCUUUGCCCAAUGGCAUUGUGAUUAUUAAACUCUUUUUC